GUACUGGUUUCGACAGGGAUUUUGAAGCUUGAGGAGCCAUUGGGAGGGACCACCUUACGGUACAAACUUAAAUAUAAACGCAGAUAAUAAUAAAUUAGCGUACGCUGCCUAGUUUGCAGCAGUCAGCUUUGGAUCACCUGCAGUCCGAAGUUCUGGCUUCAAAUAUGCAGGGCCCUCUUCUGAUUAAGCUUUGCGUCAGAUGAAGUAUUUAUGAAGCUACCAAAGCAGUCAUCCUGUUGUUCGGAGGAUUGCGGAGGGAAGGUUAAAAGAACAACUGUAAUGGGAGAGCCUCAUGUGAAUAGGUUUUUGGACGCGGGUUCGAUUCCCGCCUGGUCCAU
rnacentral:tmRNA from 1 species